ACAGAGGUCCCGAGCGUUGUUCGGAUUCAUUGGGCGUAAAGGGUGCGUAGGCGGUCUUCUAAGUUUGAUGUGAAAUCCCGGGGCUCAACCCUGGAAUUGCAUUGAAUACUGGAGGACUAGAGACCCGGAGAGGAAACUGGAAUUUACGGUGUAGCAGUGAAAUGCGUAGAGAUCGUAAGGAAGACCAGUGGCGAAGGCGAGUUUCUGGACGGGUACUGACGCUGAGGCACGAAGGCCAGGGGAGCAAACGGGA
rnacentral:rRNA from 1 species